rnacentral:tRNA from 1 species
UAUCAUGUACUAUAUAUUCUUUAAAUCUGCCUUACAAGCAGGGGGUCACAGGUUCGAGCCCUGUUGUGCCCACCA